rnacentral:antisense_RNA from 1 species
GAAACUUGAGGCUAGGCUGACCCCAUGGUUGUUAUGAUUAGAAAUCCGAGGCCACUGGAAACCCGGAGCUGCUGACAAACGAGUCACAGAGUAACUUCGCCUUCGCAUGGGGAAACGGGCUGGUGCAGUGAUGUCAUCUUGGCUCAGUGCAGCCUCGACUUCCUGGGAUCCGAUCCUCCCGCUUCAGCCUCUAGAGUAGCCGAGACCACAGGAUUUGCAAGAGGGCAGGAGAGAAAAAUGAACUGCAAGACUCCAGCACAAGAGGUGGGAUUGCUGGCAGAUGUCUGCUCCCUCUCCAAACCUAAUGAACAUCUCAAAGUGCCAUCCACUUUCCUAUACCCUUGAUCUGUGAAAUGGAUCACUGACGCUUUCUCUGUCUUUCCGGAAAUGCAAAACAGG